AACGAACGCUGGCGGCAUGCCUAACACAUGCAAGUCGAACGAUGCCUUCGGGCAUAGUGGCGCACAGGUGCGUAACGCGUGGGAAUCUGCCCUUGGCUUCGGAAUAACAGUUAGAAAUGACUGCUAAUACCGGAUGAUGUCCCCCUGAGAGAUCUUGGGGACCAAAGAUUUAUCGGCCAGGGAUGAGCCCGCGUAGGAUUAGGUAGUUGGUGGGGUAAAGGCCUACCAAGCCGACGAUCCUUAGCUGGUCUGAGAGGAUGAUCAGCCACACUGGGACUGAGACACGGCCCAGACUCCUACGGGAGGCAGCAGUGGGGAAUAUUGGACAAUGGGGGGAACCCUGAUCCAGCAAUGCCGCGUGAGUGAUGAAGGCCUUAGGGUUGUAAAGCUCUUUUACCAGGGAUGAUAAUGACAGUACCUGGAGAAUAAGCUCCGGCUAACUCCGUG
rnacentral:rRNA from 1 species